GGAAUAUUGGACAAUGGGGGCAACCCUGAUCCAGCAAUGCCGCGUGUGUGAAGAAGGCUUUCGGGUUGUAAGGCACUUUAAGUCGUGAAGAAACGUGUCGUGUUAAUAGCACGGCAAAUUGACAUUAGCGACAGAAUAAGCACCGGCUAACUCCGUGCCAGCAGCCGCGGUAAUACGGAGGGUGCACGCGUUAAUCGGAAUUACUGGGCGUAAAGCGCGCGUAGGUGGUUUGUUAAGUUAGAUGUGAAAGCCCCGGGCUCAACCUGGGAAUGGCAUUUAAGACUGGCAGGCUAGAGUAUGGUAGAGGUAAGUGGAAUUUCAGGUGUAGCGGUGAAAUGCGUAGAGAUCUGAAGGAACACCAGUGGCGAAGGCGACUUACUGGGUCAUUACUGACACUGAGGUGCGAAAGCGUGGGUAGCAA
rnacentral:rRNA from 1 species